rnacentral:lncRNA from 1 species
UGGUAGUCCAUUCCUGUGUAUGUUCCUCCAGAACAGGGAGUCAAACUCAUGGAGCUUUUUGUCAGUCAGGAUAGACUAAGUAAUGCUGUACUAACAAAUUAUCCCCUGGUCUCAAAAACCUAAAACAAUAAAGGUUGACUUUUCUUGUGCUACAUGUACACUGUCUAUAAGAGCUGUAUUCAUUGAAGUCACUUUGGGACCUAAGUAGAUGGAGCAUUUACUUCCCCUCACUGGAUCAGAGGUCUUACAUUAUCAACUGAAUGCUCCAUUUUGGAAGUGACUUGUUUCUGCUAUACUCAUUGACCAUAAUUAGUCACGUGGUUACAUACAAACCUAAAGGGGCCAAAAAAGACAAUCCUACCAUGUGCCUGGAGAUACUGAAGACUAGAAAUAUUUGGCAUAAUGUCUAUCAUAAGAGACUUUGAUUUAAAUGGAUUCCAUAGGUUGUUUUUCUUUGGUUUCAGGAGCUGUAGAACCAUCACCUGUUGUAACCAGAUUGGUGGCUAUGAACUACCUGCUUUUGAGAUCUGGCUAUGGUGGAAGAAUGAAUUCACAAUGGAGCUGCUAUGUUCCUCGAGACUCAACGCUAAACAAGAUUUAGAGCCAGCAUUUCCAUCUCAGAUGAGCUGUUUCCCAGCUUGAGUUGUUUUCUAUAAUAAACAAAAAGUUCCUUAUUUUGCUCACUUUAAUUUGUGCUAUCAUUUUAGCUCUAAAGGGCUACAUAUAAAAAUUUUUUGAGAUUAAAGAAAAGAUUUGAACUCUGG